rnacentral:misc_RNA from 1 species
UUCAAAUUAUCGGUUGGACAAUAUGGGUCAUCGUGACGCCGUCCAAAUCGAAGGAAUAUCUUCUUACAACACGUUUCUUCCCGCGAUGCCGUAAAAAACGAGGAACAAGUACACUUUAUUCCGCAAAAUCGCAUUUGUACCGGAGAACGAAAUAAAUUAUUAAACGGCGCGCGCGAUUCAAACGUACUUAGAGUAUAUUCAGACAAACUCAUACAGAUGCAUGUGCUUAUACGUUAUGCAGAUUCAUUUGAAUGUACCUUUACGAAGAGGUAGUUGCAACAAACUGCCGUUCGCGGCGCUGUAAUCGGCGACGCAGGCGCGGCGCGAAAGACGGCGAGAGCGGCGAUCGUGAAACGAAAAUGGCGUCGCGUGCAUGGUGCCGAUGUGAUCUCAUUUCGCCGUAUUCGUGAUCGAGUAAAUACGGUUUACGGAGGUGCGAGAAACGGCGAAUGUUGGUAACGGCGUUCGUCCACGCGUUUGGUGUGUAAUACUUGCGACUCGAGGAUCGCUCGCACGGCGAGAAACAAACGCCCGUGGCAGUCGCGCCGCACGUACGGACGUUACAGCGAGCGGCGGCGGCGACGGCGGCGACGGCGGUUGCAGUGACUACUCUGACGAUAAUUGAAUCGCGCGGACAGUAUCGCACCGGCAACUCUGUGUAAAUCCGCGUUCGUGCGAGUGCGAGUUCGUCCCGCUGGCAUGACGAAGGACGCGAAAUUCUCGUUUCCGCGUGUAAGCAUCGUGAACUUAGCCGCGACGGUGGAGUAAUGUGUGUUGACGUGUAUUGAGUGAGCCCUCUCUACGUUAUCGUCCUUGUUCCGUUUCGACGGAAGAUCGCCUGCCGGCAGCGAGGACGAAGACGACGAUACACGGCCACUACGACGACGAGCACGGUGACGGGGACGUGCGACGUUUAGCAUCUCACUCGCUAUGGCGGUGAAUCCGCGUGAUAUGGACGGCUUUAUGCCGCUCCUGUCAACGACGGAUAUCAAGAAGAAGCUGAACGUCGGUACUGCGCUACUGAAUUACCUCGGCGAUUCGGACAAGAGCAUCGAGUGCCAGGAUAUCGGCAUGUUCAUCGACAACAUUAUACCGUGGCUUGGCAACGGCAAUCCCAAGGUCGUCCAGAAUGGUUUAGAGAUUCUCACGUAUCUCGCGGAUCGGAUGGGUCACGACUUCAAGCCUUACAUCUCCACUAUCAUUCAGCCGACAAUAGACAGGCUAGGCGACAGCAAAGAUGCCACCAGGGAAAAGGCGCAUUUGGUACUUCUGAAAAUUAUGGAGAAGGGAUGCAUGUCGCCGCAGAAUCUUCUGGACAGACUUCGCCCGGCUUUCAAUCACAAGAACGCGAAAUUGCGAGAGGAAGCGCUGAUCCUGCUGACGACAACACUGAACGAGCAUGGAGCGGACGAGAUGGCUCUAUCGGGAGUGAUCCCGAGCAUCGUCAAGCUGCUGUCCGAUCCUUCGGAAAAAGUUCGGGAAACCGCGCUGAGCACGCUCGCCGAUAUCUAUCGGCACGUCGGCGAGAGAUUACGCGUCGACUUGCAAAGAAAGCACAAUGUGCCGCAAGCCAAAAUGCUCCUGUUAAUAGAGAAGUUCGAUCAACUGAAGGCCGCCGGCGAUCUUCUACCUCUGGCGAUGUCAUCCGACGUCGGCAAAGAUAACGACGAACCUGACAGAGCGAUUAAAUCGGCUCCCGUUAAGAGGUUGAACAUGCCCCCAAAAAGAGGUCAAUUUGGACCGGCUAAGACACCAUCCUCUGCCUUAGCUCCCUCCAGUACUACCGCAUCCACGGUCCCAAGGGCAGCGACCGUCAAAAGAGCUCUGUCAGUAAGAUCGGCAUCAGCUGGAGCCGUCGAUGAAGAAUCCUUUAUCACUUCGUUCGAGGAUGUGCCUACCGUGACCCUGUUUUCUGCGAAGGAUCUCGAGGAACAGAUGAAAGUAAUCAGGGAUACAGUGGGCGACGACAAGAAGGAUUGGAAGCAGAGAAUGGAUAGCAUGAGAAAGUUAAGAGGCAUUGUAAUCGCAGGCGGCACUAAUUACGAAAAUUUCCACGAGUGCCUAAAAAGCGUACAGCGACCGUUCGAACAGGCCUGCACCGACCUGAGAUCCCAAGUAGCGAGGGAGGCGUGUAUAACUCUAGCCUUUCUGAGUCAGAGUCUGAAGACGAAAUUCGCCGGUUUUGGCGAGGCGGUCUUGCUCACGUUAAUGAACCUCAUACAGAACAGUGCCAAGGUCGUGGCGUCAGCCGGCGCGGUGGCAGUUCGGUUUAUCCUUCAAAAUACCCACUGCAGCCGAUACGUGCCUAUUAUUAUAUCGUGCGUGAGCAACAAAAGCAAAGACAUUCGCAGGGCGUCCUGGGAGUAUCUCGCUCUGAUACUGCAGACCUGGCCUACGCAGAUAUUGCAAAAGCACGUAACGACACUGCCGGACGCGCUGAAGAAGGGAAUCGCCGACUCCGACGCGGAAGCGCGAGUCUUCGCCAGGAAAUCAUACUGGGCAUUUAAAAAUCACUUUCCAGAGCAGGCUGAAAUACUACUUAAUAAUCUGGAUGCGACAUACAAACGCUCCUUGAUGUCUCUCAGCAAUAGCGGCAGUAGUAACAGCUUAAAUAUUGUGGCUAAUGCGAGAUCGUCGAGCGUCAGCCCGCGUACAGCCCGGCCCGUGAUGAGCGCGGCAGGUAGUACGGAAAAUUUGCAUCAGACCACGGGUCAACCGCACGGUCCGCUCAGACGUACCCCGUCCUUGCCUCGGUCUUAUCGUCAGUCUGGUAUCCCGAUACUGCAAAGACCAACAGACAGUCACUACCGAGGAACGCCUGGGGUUAGAUCUACCAGUGCAAUCGAUCUGCAAGCUGCUCAGAGAGCGAAGGCCAGGAUAAUGUAUGCGAAUAUGAGCAGGCAAAAAGCGGCGGCGGCUCUUCCUCGUCCCAGUAAAUCCCCGGAUCCCAAUGCGGUUGCUAGUCCAGAAAGAAUUGCUAGGACGAGGACAAGAGUCUCGGGAGUUUCGCAAUCUCAACCUAGCAGUAGAUCAGGUUCGCCGUCGUCUAGAUUAAGCUACGCCACGUAUAAUCGCGAAGGCGAAUCACUGAUAGGCAGACCGAGGCGAUUAUCUGGACACGCGAUUAGUAGCACAAGCAACAGUCGCGAGCCCAGCCCACAGAGAUUUGGAAUGGACAGGAGUUUUGCCAGCAAACUGAGAGGGAGAAAUCUACACAUGUCACCAACGGACAGCACGAGACCACCGGUGAUGGCGCAAAAAAUGCUGCAGAAGUCACGCGAAGCGGAGUCCGCUUUGGCGGAUGCUUUGACUUUUGACAGUAUCGAUAACUACACCAGAAUACCGGGCAAAGGAGAUCACAGCGACGACAGCGAGAACAGCAGUAUAUGCUCGGAACGAAGCAUGGACGGUUUUAGACGAGCUAGCGAUUCGUUCUCAUGGAGUGGCUCCCAACCGAGACUGUACCGUGAUCUAUGGGAUCAGUCUACUCCGAAGGAUAUCAAAGAAAUUAUUGAAAUCUGUGCUCACAAACAUUGGGGAGACAGGAAAGAAGGUUUGGUGGGCUUGCAGCAUUACUUGAGCAGCGGUAACACGCUGACAGCGACUGAUUUGCGUAGAAUCACAGACAUUUUUACGAAAAUGUUCAUGGAUUCUCACACCAAAGUGUUCAGUCUGUUUCUGGACACGUUGAACGAACUAGUUAUCACUCACAAUGAUGGACUUGGCGACUGGCUUUACGUUCUGUGCGCGAGGCUCCUCAAUAAAUUGGGCACCGAUCUGUUGGGAUCUAUACAAACAAAGAUUCGCAAAACGCUUGAUGUUGUGAGAGACUGUUUCCCGGGCCAACAGCUUCUACCGGCUGUGAUGAGGUAUCUGACAGAUCCAACACAAACACCAAAUACUCGCGUGAAAAUAGAAGCAUUGACUUUUAUCACGCAGAUCGCUGAGACGGCAGAACCGUCCGCGCUGGGCAGUUCUGCAGCGACAGCACUUGCACGGCUGCUCGACUGGUCGAACGAUGUUAAAAGCCAAGAAGUGAGGAGGCACGCGCAGAACGCUGUGAUAUCGCUUUACAAUCUCAAUCCGCCUCAAGUUACUAUGAUACUCUCCGAGUUACCGAAAUAUUACCAAGAAACAGCCUGGCCUUUGGUGCAGAAUCACCUCAGGAAAUCGUCUACUACGAGUAAUCCGGCAUCGCCCGGCACACCGCCACCCAGAGCACAGAGUUCGCCAGCUCGCACGAAAGCGAAGAACGAUAUUAAAGCGGACUCGAAGACUGAAAUCGACGGAGGAGAUGAAAACUUGGAGGAAGUAUACAAAUCUUUGCGCCGUACGACGGCUGAAAUUCAAAAUUAUGGUUUCGAACGUUUGGAGAGAGCAACCACCAGCAAAGACAGCGGCAUUAGCAACAUGGCCGACGUGGAGGAAAGAAUAGAAGGACUCACGUUAUCCAAUUCGGGCCGAUCCUCGUCCGUUUCUUCACCAACGCAACGGGGACGUUCUGGUAGUAAUAUAACAGUGAAUGGAUCCGAUACGAUUGCCGGUGAUUUAAUCCUACCUCAAGAGAACAAUGGUUAUAAAACGCACGGCUCGUCGCCCGAUUCGGUGAGCAGACCGGAACUCGUGGAUAAUAUGGUGAAGACUUUACAAUCUAAAGUCGCGCAAACCACGGAAAAAGUAUCGGCGCUACAAGAAUUUCAGUUAUACGUCCGCGAAGGCGAUCCAUCGUAUAUUAAACGAAACUUUAAGAAAGUGCUCAAAGUUUUAUUAGAUAGCUUAUCUAACGAUGGGAAAGUGAUACAAGUGGAAGUUCUUCAAACGCUGAUCGAUAUGUUAAAGUGUUCCGAAUUGAUUGAGAGCUUUUCGUCUUACAAUGAAUUGUUGGUGCUGAAAGUUAUCUACGCCUACAAAUCCGACGAUCAGAAGGUCGAUUCUUCCAGCGGUAGCGGCGGCAGAUCUCCAGUCCAUUGGAACGCAGAGAAAUGUGCCGCAACGAUGGCCAUGGUUCUAAAACCAGAACAAAUCAUUCAUUUGGUUUCCACUAUAAUCGCCACAGAGACGUAUCCUUUAAAUAUGGGCGCGAUAAAGAUGUUGCACAAAGUAGUGGAUCACUGGGGUCGCGAAGCUAUCGAACCUCAUCUCGCCAAGGUUAUGCCGGGCCUCAUCAAGGCUUACGACGAUGCCGAGAGCGCAGUUCGUAAAAGUGCCGUGUUCUGCAUGGUAGCAAUCCAUGUUGCGGUCGGCGAGGAGGUGCUAAAACCGCACUUAAGCUGCCUGUACUCCAGCAAGCUAAAGCUGCUGAACAUCUAUAUACAGCGCGCGCAGCAACAGGCGAACAGUCAGCCGGCGAGCCCGCGUAGCAACAAUAAAAACUAACUAAUAUCUCACACCACGACUCUCAGGGUCGCGAUACUUAAAAGAUUCGCUCGCUUUGGCGCGCGGCAUGAGCGAAUGCUUCUCAGCUUCCUCAGUAAGUCCGAUCCGUCAUGAUGGUCGACGGUUUUAACAGUAUGACUCGGAAAUUUUGAUACGAGGCAGAGACUGAUGUGCGUUACUUCUGCGACGGCAUGCGUACGUGUGAGUGAUUCGCCGCUUGAGACGACAGUGAUGUUGUGUGCAGAAACGAGUAAUUGCAAAGGGCUUUCUGGGCAUCUGCGAUGCGGUUUUUCGAGACGAGCCAGACGGGCGAUUCCGGCACCAAGAACUGCACCAGGAUGACAG